AUUGAACGCUGGCGGCAGGCUUAACACAUGCCAGUCGAGCGGGGGGAGGUAGCUUGCUACCUAACCUAGCGGCGGACGGGUGAGUAAUGCUUAGGAAUCUGCCUAUUAGUGGGGGACAACAUUUCGAAAGGGAUGCUAAUACCGCAUACGCCCUAGGGGGAAAGCAGGGGAACUUCGGAACUUGCGCUUAUAGAUGGGACUAAGUCGGAUUAGCUAGUUGGUGGGGUAAAGGCCUACCAAGGCGACGAUCUGUAGCGGGUCUGAGAGGAUGAUCUGCCACACUGGGACUGAGACACGGCCCAGACUCCUACGGGAGGCAGCAGUGGGGAAUAUUGGACAAUGGGGGGAACCCUGAUCCAGCCAUGCCGCGUGUGUGAAGAAGGCCUUUUGGUUGUAAAGCACUUUAAGCGAGGAGGAGGCUACCGAGAUUAAUACUCUUGGAUAGUGGACGUUACUCGCAGAAUAAGCACCGGCUAACUCUGUGCCAGCCGCCGCAGUAAUAC
rnacentral:rRNA from 1 species